CAGGCAGUUGGAACUCUGAGGGUUUGCAGCGGGGAGUGACUGAUGGGUGACAGGGCUGAAAUCAUCCUUAAGUUGGAGGAAGAGAGAGGGCACGCUGGCCCAUUGUGCAAAGGGAGGUGAACUCACAUGGGAGUUGGUGGAGGAGAAAGCUGGGAGGAACCGUCCUGCCUGCGGUCCAGAGGUGCAAGGAGAGAAGCCAGAUCAACUAGCAGUGAAAGCGAGUUCCAGUUCCUCCAUGCCCUCGCCAACACUUUCAGCAACUUUAAAAGGUCUCUAUGAAGUUCCCCACUGAAGUAGCUCCCUCAGCUUGCGGUCUCCCCACCACUCAACCGGUGUGAUCACCCUCCCCUUUGCUGCCAUCAAACACAGCCA
rnacentral:lncRNA from 1 species